GAGGCCUGAAGGUGGGAGGGCGCCCACGGAGCUGGAGCUGCGUUUGAAGACAUAGCUCCGAGGCUCAGGGAGCUGACCGUUCGCAGCUGGCCCGAGUCUGUGGAUCAUGACGUUCAAAAGAAGAGAAGAGUCACCUGCAGCUCUGCCCCACGGCUGAUUAACACACUGAGAGAGCGGAAGGGAGGGAGAACAAGAUGGAAAGAAACAUCAAUGUGUGGUUGCCUCUUGUGUGCACCCUACUGAGGGACCUGGCCCGCAACACAGAUCAUCCCUCAGCCGCAGCUGCUGGGCUGUUCUCCACCAUCUCCGCUCCAGGAAUGUUGGCGCAGAGGAUUCCGUGUUCCUCCAACUCCACUUUCAUCUCGGUGCCGUCCUUCGGCAAGGUGAAGUACGAGGUCAAUGUCAUAAUCACUUUGCCUUUUUCAGUGCAAAAUUUGUACUGACUUCAGUCAUUACUAUUUUUCACUGCUUUUCAAUCUCAGAACCCUUCCUGCAGUGUUCAUUGGCAGAUUCAGGUUAUAUAGGCCCUCAAAAAUAUUUUUUACAAAUGAGAAAACCCUCAAGAAACAUACAUUCACAGAGCACAGGCCCCAGUCCAGGCCAGGGACGUUGUCAUGAGAGGAAGUGGGUCCAGGCCAGGCGGUCGCCCAGCUAGGCUGGCAAAUCUCUCUCCCUCUCCAAGGUCUCUUCCCCCACCUUCGCCAGCCAGCCUGGCCGUUUAAAUCAUAUGGCCCUUAGUUCUGUGUGUGUGUACGUGUUUGUCCAUGGGUGUUCAUCUUAGAUUUUUACUCUUUUAAAAAACUGCUUUACUCUAAAAAGGAAGCACAGGGUGUGAUAUUUCCGUAGGGAUAAACAGUGCCGUGGGAACCCAGAGGAGGUACAUUCAGUUUGAGGGGCCAACCAAGGCCCCUCAAGAGACAUGACGUCUAAGCUGACUCUUGAAGGAUUUCAAACUCCCUCCCUCAAACCGCCACCCUCCUCCUCUAUCCGCAACUCCAUGCUGGAGAUUUGCAGCUGAGCAUCUGUGAUGGAGACCUGGGCGGAAUGCCGGCCUCUGGGGCCACACGUCUUCUCUCGGAGCAGGCUCAUUCCACUCUGUGCUGAUGGCUUCAGCCUGAAGUUCACGCAGUGACUUUUCUAAGGCUUCCCUAGGGCGGAGCUUCCUGUGCAGACGUGCGGACCAAGAAACUGGGAGGUUCCAUCUUUCCACCUGAAAGGGUUCUGCUGAGGGUACAGAGAAACUGUGACAUAAGAAUGUGACAUUAUUGAAAGCCUACUAUGUGUCAGGUUCUGUGCUAAAUGCUGUAAACAGUUGGUCUCAGAAGCCCCAGAAAGAUCUAGAAAUGGAUCCUAUUAUAACUUCCAUUUGGCUGAUGAAGUCACACAUCCAGAAAAUUUAAGUAAUGAUUUAUACAGCUAGUAAGGGUCAGUCUGAUUUCAAAACCUAUGCUCUUUCCAGUCAUACUGUGCUGAGCCCUGAAAGUUCCAUAUCGUCCAAAAUUCCUUAGCUACUCCCACUGAGGGUGGGGAGGGGUGGAGAGGAGAAGGCAGAUUGAACCCCGUCUCUUAGAGCACACGAGACCAGGCCAGGACACCAGAGUGGUGCUACUGAAAAGAAUUUUCCUGGAGCUUGUCAGUGACCCAGAUGAGGGCUGCUAGCGGUUACACAACAGCUACGGUUCCCCCAGAGGGCCAGGAUCUGCAAUGGCAGCAGCAGAGCAGGCCUCAGCCAGUCUAGACAUUUGGUGGGAGCUGAGAGAACUUAUACCUUGCUCUGUACCAAGGUUAGGCAAAUAAAGUUAAAACGCUGAGCUGCUUUGCUCCUGGAGGAACUCACCUCAACUCCAGGACUUUAUCAAAACCACCAUUGGUAGUUGUCUCUCUCUCUCUCUCUUUCUCUCUCUCUC